GUUCAUCGCCAGGGCUCUAAGACAGCGAGCCAUGUUCCUUCUUCUGGUGCUUCUCACUGGACUUGGUGGGAUGCAUGCAGACCUCAAUCCUCAUAAAAUCUUCCUACAGACCACAAUUCCAGAGAAGAUUUCAUCAUCGGAUGCAAAAACAGAUCCAGAACAUAAUGUUAUUUACAUGAUUACCAUAGGGAAAGCCAUAUUUUGUCCAUCUCAAAAAGCAAUCAAUUUUAUCUUCAGCUUCUGUUAUUAAUUCUUAUGACGAAAAUGACAUCCGUCAUUCCAAACCUCUGCUAGUUCAGAUGGAUUGCAUUUAUAAUGGAUAUGUUGCGGGUAUUCCAAAUUCUCUUGUGACUCUCAGCGUAUGUUCAGGACUCAGGGGAACAAUGCAGCUGAAAAACAUCUCAUAUGGAAUUGAACCGAUGGAGGCUGUUAUCAGGAUUUAUACACAAGAUUUAUGAAGAAAAAUAUGCUGACACUAAUAUUCUCUUAGAAGAAAAUGACACUUAUACUUGGUUUAAUUCAGAGUAUCAAGUCAGAAAAAGUUCAGAAAAAACUGACUUUAUUAAGUUAUUCCCUCGAUAUAUUGAAAUGCAUAUUGUUGUGGACAAAAAUUUGGUACUCUGGUGGUGUAAAGGAUUUUAACAUCUGUAGCUUGGAUGACUUUAAAUAUAUUUCUUCUCAUAAUGGCCUUACAUGUCUUCAGACAAACCCUCUUGAAAUGCCAACCUACACACACAGGAGAAUAUGUGGCAAUGGGUUGUUGGAAGGAAGUGAAGAAUGUGACUGUGGCACUAAAGACGUUAGUAGAAUAUUUUUUCUAAAAUUUAAAAAAUGUGUGGUAUUUCUAGUCAUUGUUUUAACCAAUACCAGAUAUACUCCACAAGAUGCCACUAUGUUUCAAAAACAACUGUUUCAACUGAUUUUCUACA